rnacentral:rRNA from 1 species
CAGCAGCCACGGGAAUACGUAGGUGGCGAGCGUUGUCCGGAAUCAUUGGGCGUAAAGGGAGCGCAGGCGGGCAAGUAAGUCUUUCUUAAAAGUGCGGGGCUCAACCCCGUGAUGGGAAAGAAACUACAUGUCUUGAGUACAGGAGAGGAAAGCGGAAUUCCCAGUGUAGCGGUGAAAUGCGUAGAUAUUGGGAGGAACACCAGUGGCGAAGGCGGCUUUCUGGACUGCAACUGACGCUGAGGCUCGAAAGCCAGGGGAGCGAACGGGAUUAGAUACCCGUGUAGUCCCUGUCUCUUAUACA